rnacentral:rRNA from 1 species
UUAACGGUCGGACAAGCCCGUCGGAGUGUGGUUAUUGUUGGAAGGGCAACCGACCAAUGAGGCCACCGUAAUCGUUCGGGGUGCCUUUAAUCGGGUGUCUCGGGCGGCCGACAUAGUUUACUUUGAACAAAUUAGAGUGCUCAAAGCAGGUGACUACCGCCUGAAUAGUACAGCAUGGAAUGAUGAAAGAGGACCUCGGUCUGAUUUUGCUGGUCUUUAACGGUCGGGCUUCGGCCCGGCCUAUGCAGACCCGAGGUAAUGGUCAAUAGAGACGGACGGGGGCAUCCGUACUGCGGCGACAGAGGUGAAAUUCUUGGACCGCCGCAAGACGAACGACAGCGAAGGCAUUUGCCAAGAAUGUUUUCCUUGAUCAAGAACGAAAGUUAGAGGUUCGAAGGCGAUCAGAUACCGCCCUAGUUCUAACCAUAAACGAUGCCAACUAGCGAUCCGCCGGUGUUACUCCCAUGACUCGGCGGGCAGCUUCCGGGAAACCAAAGUCUUUGGGUUCCGGGGGAAGUAUGGUUGCAAAGCUGAAACUUAAAGGAAUUGACGGAAGGGCACCACCAGGAGUGGAGCCUGCGGCUUAAUUUGACGCAACACGGGAAACCUCACCAGGCCCGGACACUGGAAGGAUUGACAGAUUGAGAGCUCUUUCUUGAUUCGGUGGGUGGUGGUGCAUGGCCGUUCUUAGUUGGUGGAGCGAUUUGUCUGGUUAAUUCCGAUAACGAACGAGACUCUAGCCUGCUAAAUAGGUGCCGGGUUUUUGCAUCUCCUCGCAAGGGGAGAGUGGAGUGUGUGGUUGUCGGGAUCCUGGGCUGUGGUGGUCGUUUAGGCUGCGGGGGGCAACUCUCGUGGUCUGGGCGGCUGUCAUAGUUCACCCGGUGUACGCACACUUCGCGUCCGGCGUUUUUCUUCUUAGAGGGACAAGCGGCGUCCAGCCGCGUGACAGUGAGCAAUAACAGGUCUGUGAUGCCCUUAGAUGUCCUGGGCCGCACGCGCGCUACACUGAAGGAAUCAGCGUGUUAUUCAUCCCUGUCUGAAAAGACCGGGCAACCGCUGAACCUCCUUCGUGGUUGGGAUUGGGGACUGCAAUGAUCCCCAUGAACCAGGAAUCCCUAGUAGGCGCGGGUCACUAGCCCGCGUCGAUUACGUCCCUGCCCUUUGUACACACCGCCCGUCGCUACUACCGAUUGAAUGAUUUAGUGAGAACUUCAGACGGCUAUGUUUGUCCGGGGCAACCCGCGUCGAGCAGGGCUGAAAGAUGUUCAAACUUGAUCCUUUAGAGGAAGUAAAAGUCGUAACAAGGUU